GCCCCGGCCGGCCGGCAGGGGGCGGCGGCGCGGCGCCCCAUCCCGGCCUCCGGGCUUCCUGUCCGCCCUGCCGCAGGCUCGCCGACGCCUUCCUCAGAGGAUUGCGGACAGAUGAGGAGGCAGAGGGUCCGAGUGGACAUGUGUGGGAGGUCCCACAGCCACGGAGUAGCAGAGCUCUGUUCGAACCCAGGCUGGCCAUCCUGACAGGCUGGGACGUAUAGCCUGGGCAGAAGUCUGAAGACAGGCACUGGGAGUAAGACGGGAACUUUUGCCGAAAGGAUUGGCCAAGUGUACAUAUUCAACCGGUUACAGGAAGAGCUAUGAAUAUUCAUGAAGGAGAACCACAUACAGGUAUUAAGUUUACAGAUUUUGAAAGCAGAAAUAAGAAAUGGGAAGUGAUAAGAGAUUAAAAGAUAAAAUUGGUAAUCUUUCCUGUUCCUCAAAAUUGGGACUUGCCAAUGUUCUGAUGCAUAAAUGGUCCUGGCCCCAAAACUCAGACUUUCAUAAGAAUACAACCAUUGCUCCCACUGAGAAGCUUCUUACAACAGUACUGACGUGAUGCAUAAAGGGUCCUGGCCCAAGAACUCAGUCUUUGGUAAGAAUGCAACCUUUGCUCCCAGGGAACAGAAGCUUCUUACAACAGUACUGACGUAAUGGAACAGAAACCAGACUAAGGAAUCAGAAGUAAUGAGUUUGAGUCCUAAUUCUGCCACUUACUUGACCACUCUCUCUUGACCAUUUGGAACCUGUUUUCUCAUGUAUCAAAAUAAAAUAACAAUGCUUCUUUCAUAAGGUUGAGAUAGUAUGAAUGCACCUCAAUUCAUUAAUAAGGCACGCAGUUCUACCAAUUAUUUUCAUCUUAUUUUGAAACAGUUCAUUGGAUAUUUUUUAAAUUUAUUAAAUAUAUUUUAACAUAGCAAAGAAGAGAGAAUAAUAUGAUCAACACUCAGUUUAUUGAAUCAGCAUUUUGCCAUAUUUGCUUCAGAUUGCUUCUUUUGCAAUAAAUAACUUUUUUUUGCAUGGGAUACACUUAUACUAAAUAAUUAUUUGUUGUUUUUCUCAAAUUCAAAUUUAACUAGGUAUCCUGUAUUUUUUCUGCUUACUAUGGUAACCAUAAACUGGUGAGAUUCUUGAAUCAGAUUGCCUUGUUUAAUGUAACUUAGCUUUGAGAAGAAAUCCAAUUACUUGUGCAGAAUCAUUAUAUUUAUACAGAAGUUCUUUAAGCUUUUCACAAUAGAACUUUCAAAAUGAAUUCUGCAUGACACAGAUGAUAAAAUAAUGAUGGUUUCCUAAUAAUAACUACAAAUACCCAAAUCAUAAACACUGCCCUUCUUGUUCUUUUUAAAGAGAUAAAUAAAGGGAUCUGUAUGGAUUAAAAAAGGUUUUUGUGCUUGUUAACAUGGAAGACAUCAUUUGAUUCUGUAAUAAGAUUUUAAGGACUAAAAAAAUAUUCUGCUCUGUGAAAACACUAAGGAUGUAUUUGUUAAAAAUUCCUCAUUAGUACAAACUCCAUUCUAAGAGUCAUUCAACCUUUACUAAUGAUGAAUGCCACCACUUAUUGUACUCUUCCUGUAAUGAGAUAAAAAUCAUGUAUAACCACAUGAAAGUAACUGGAGAGGGAAGAACAAACAAGGAUAGAAGGAAAAAUAACUCAUCAAUUUAAGGAUAUUUUAAGUUGAAGAUCAGACUGUUGAAUAAGUCUACUUUAAUACUUUCCAAAUGGUAUUUUAACAGUAUCGCUUUGUGAAAAGAACCCUGAAGACCUUUUUUAAAUGCCUAGCUUUGUACAUAAGGAUCACUGAUAAAAAACAAUAGCAAUUGAAAGUAUUUUUUUCGCAAUUUAAUUAAAGUUUUUGACCACCUUACCGUGUGUUGAAUGUUGGACCAGGCACUCUGUGAGAUACACCUGUGACUUAGGAGCAUGUAAGAAACACAAAUGCACAAGUAAGCAUAAUACAAGGUAAAUUGUCAAAUAAAAUAACACAGAAUGAAAAGCUAUCAGAACAUAAAAGAGGGCAGUAUUCUGAUGUUGGUGAGAAGUUGGCAAAAGCUUCACAGAAAAGUGUCUCUUGAGACAGAUCUGGACAAGUAAGGAUGAGACUGGUGCGGGAACAGAAGCAAAAGGCAGAGGUGGGUAAGUUCAAGGUUUGAGCAAUGCCUGAGUGACCUUUCUUGACUUCCUCCUGCCUUAGGUUUACUCUUGCCCUGGCUCAUUACCUGGCUCAUUUCUACCCAUCUCUCCUCCCCUAUGUGCUUGGAACACAAUAAUCUCCCCAUAUUUCCCUAGCCAAUUCAUAAUCCUCACUGGGGCUUAAUUUUAUUGUCACUUCCUCUGCAAAGCCUUCCCAGACUACCCUUGCCUUCAAACUAGUUGAGCUCUAUAUCAUCUCAUGGCACACUGGAACUUCAUAUGCUUAUCUUACCUGCAGCUAAGAAAUAAGUUAAUUGUUUAACAACUACCUCGUUGAUUGUACCUUGAUUAUACAUUCCAUGAAGAGAGAGAUCUUUUUCUGUUUUGUUCACUGUGUGGCUGCUGGGCCUUAGCAUAAUGCUUGACACAUAGAAGAUACUCAAUGAAGUGUUGAUGAAUGAAUUCUGGUAAUAGGUUUUAUGUGUGGUUGAAUAUAGUUUCGAAUGCUUUUACAAUUUUGAUAGCUAUGUUAAAUUACAAGGCUUAUAAGAAGGUACAUAAGCAAAUUAAUAGGUUAUUCCGUAUAGAUUUUCAUAAUUUAAAGCGAUUUCAUAGAAGAUAUAGUAUGUAAUAGUCUUUUUCUUUUUCUUUUUUUUUUUUUGAGACAGAGUCUCACU